rnacentral:lncRNA from 1 species
CUUAACUUUGCAGCCAUGACAUGUUGAGUUCACCUUUCAACGAUGUGAGCUUAACUUUGCAGCACACUACAUGGCUAGGGCCAAAAUGCUUUGAAUUCUGAUAUGGUACCACAUCAAAUUUGCUGCCGCUUGUAAUUCUUAUUUGGUGAAAUUAAGUCUGUUAUGUUGACGCCAAACAAAUAAAAAUAAAAUAAAAAAUGACAUUGUUGUGGAUAUCUUGCCCCACCGUCGAUUCACCGUUCUCACACGCCGAAGCCUUAGUUUUGAAACUUUCCCGAAGCUCAGCUGCACUCGAAUCCCUUGCGUAGACCACGCACACGUUAGCUCAC